AGAGUAGCGCUCUGGGUCUCCAGCUCUAAGCAGGCACCACCUCUCGGGGAAGUGACCACUAGUGCGCUCUCAGCUCCGCAAGUCGCUGGACAGUCCUUUGCGCUCUCAAGGUGUCUACCGCGUCUGGUACUGUCAAGACACGGGAACAGCCGCACCUUAUUGCAGGCAGGACUCCGAAAUGUUAACUGGAUUGCGCCCUCCCCACUGCCUGUGCUCGCUAUUUUCCUUCUCAGUCGUCUGGCGCGCGAGCCAGCGCCCUUGCCAACCUCAGCCAUUUGGGUCUUCCGCGGGCAGAGGCUCAUCCGAGCCAGCGGGAUUGUAACUAUCCCCUGAGUGCGCACCGCGGGAGCCUUAAGAGGCUGCUGGAGCCACAUUAGCAGCAGCAGACACCAGCUUCAGCGCGUCACCGGAGUACCGGUUCCUGUGGGCGCGCCUAAGCUCGCGGAUCUUCCUCUCACAUGUUUAGAGGCCAAGAAAAGCACUUUUGAAAUUCAUUCUUUACAGCCGGGCACAGUGGCUCACGCCUAUAAUCCCAGCCCUUUGGGAGGCCGAGGCGGAUGGAUCACGAGGUCAAGAGAUCAAGACCAUCCUGGCCAACAUGGUGAAAACCCAUCUCUACCAAAAAAAAAAAAUUAAAAAUUAGUCAGACGUGGUGGCGCCUGCGUAUGAUCCCAGCUACUCAGGAGGCUGAGGCAGGAGAAUCGCUUGAACCCGGGAGGCAGAGGUGGCAAUGAGCCUAGAUCGCGCCAUUGCACUCCAGCCUGGUGACAGAGUGAGAGUCCAACUCAAAAAAAAAAAAAAGUCACUCCUUCGACGGUGAGCAGAGGAGCCUGUGGGCACAGAGCCCUAGCUGAGGGCGGGGAUCGCAGAGGAGAGGAAAUGGAAAAUGGGAACUCGGUGUCUGCUAACCUAGGGUUCCUCGGCUUUGAUUUUAAGUAGCAGUGAGGUUGAGUGGUUUCACCACCCCCUUCGCUCCCGGGCUGCUGGCGCAGAUUGAUCCUGUAGCGGGUGUUAAACGGGUACGCGGGUGGGGCAAUUCAUUAGGCAAGAAAUGGAUUAGUUGUUUAUUAUCUAUAAACAUUCCAUCCACAGCAACCAAUCAUAAAACCGCGGAAGGACCCGUAGAGUAGGGCAACAGCGAGGCCUGGGGUGGUGGGCAGCUCAGGCUUAGCGAUGGUUCCCGGGCGGGGAAGGGUGGAUUAGGGACGGUGGGGGCGGGGGAGGGGGCGAUAAUUAAGCGAGUCCUCAGGAAAUUGUUUCCUAGAUGGGGAUCAUGAUGCCUCUAACUUGUACGGGGCAGGGGAAAUAUUGGGAUGAUUUGAAGGGGGUGAUGACGGAAAGCACCAAACAAGGAUUGGAAGGCCACAGUGAGGUCAUUAGUGAGGUUGAUGCCGGCGAUAAAAGCUGUUGAUUAAAUGAGGAGAGCAAUUUAGUCUUUGGUUUCUUGGUGAAAUGCUUAGUCACUAACCAUGAAAGCGGCCUAAUAAUAUUUUAUGGGGGUUGAGGGUGGUGAGUUUAAAACUGGUAUCUUUCUGGUAGCAGAAAUUCACCUCUAAGGAGGGCUUUUAAAAAUCCCCUUUAGAAUAAAACGUUUUCUAAUAAGAG
ensembl:lncRNA